UACGGGGGGGGCAAGCGUUGUUCGGAAUUACUGGGCGUAAAGGGCUCGUAGGCGGCCAACUAAGUCGGACGUGAAAUCCCUCGGCUUAACCGGGGAACUGCUUCCGAUACUGGAUGGCUUGAGUGUGGGAGAGGGAUGCGGAAUUCCAGGUGUAGCGGUGAAAUGCGUAGAUAUCAGGAGGAACACCGGUGGCGAAGGCGGCUCUCUGGAUCGGCCCUGACGCUGAGGCGCGAAAGCGUGGGGAGCGAACGGG
rnacentral:rRNA from 1 species